GAAUUUGUUAUCCCCUUGACUAGUAUCCGGUAAUGGAUAAUAUAUUUCUAUCACUCCUGUGUUGAAGAUUGUUUCUUCCCCAGUUGAGCUUGUGUGCGUAUUUCUUCAAUGAAAUCGCCUUUCCCUACUUGGUUCGAGUAUUUCAGCUUUGUUCUGAUCUACCCGUUCCCCCAGAAGUUUUAAAAGUCGUAGCCUGGCCUACGCAUAACCCCUUUUAUCCCCUAGAGUCUUUGUACCCCCAAUUAGUUUUCCCUACGGAAUGCGUUAUACUCCUGCGAACUUCCAG
rnacentral:lncRNA from 1 species